rnacentral:rRNA from 1 species
UAGGGAAUCUUCGGCAAUGGGGGGAACCCUGACCGAGCAACGCCGCGUGAGUGAAGAAGGUUUUCGGAUCGUAAAGCUCUGUUGUUAAGGAAGAACGAGUGUGAGAAUGGAAAGUUCAUGCUGUGACGGUACUUAACCAGAAAGGGACGGCUAACUACGUGCCAGCAGCCGCGGUAAUACGUAGGUCCCGAGCGUUGUCCGGAUUUAUUGGGCGUAAAGCGAGCGCAGGCGGUUAGAAAAGUCUGAAGUGAAAGGCAGUGGCUCAACCAUUGUAGGCUUUGGAAACUGUUUAACUUGAGUGCAGAAGGGGAGAGUGGAAUUCCAUGUGUAGCGGGGAAAUGCGUAGAUAUAUGGAGGAACACCGGUGGCGAAAGCGGCUCUCUGGGCUGUAACUGACGCUGAGGCUCGAAAGCGUGGGGAGCGAACAGG